GAUGAAGAACGCAGUGAAAUGCGAUAAGUAAUGUGAAUUGCAGAAUUCAGUGAAUCAUCGAAUCUUUGAACGCACAUUGCGCCCGCCAGUAUUCUGGCGAGCAUGCCUGUUCGAGCGUCAUUUCAACCAUCAAGCCCCAGGCUUGUGUUGGAGCCCUGCGGCUGCCGCAGCCUCCCAAAACCAGUGGCGGGCUCGCUAUCACACCGAGUGCAGUAGUUUACUCUUCGCUCAGGGCGUGUGGCGGGUGCUAGCCGUGAAACCCCCAACUUCUCAAGGUUGACCUCGGAUCAGGUAGGAAUACCCGCUGAACUUAAGCAUAUCAAUAGCGGAGGA
rnacentral:misc_RNA from 1 species